rnacentral:rRNA from 1 species
UACGUAUGAGGCAAGCGUUGUUCGGAAUUAUUGGGCGUAAAGGGCAUCUAGGCGGGAUGUUAAGUCAGGUGUGAAAUUCCACGGCUCAACUGUGGAACUGCAUUUGAUACUGGCAUUCUUGAGUUCGGAAGAGGAAGGCGGAAUUCCCGGUGUAGCGGUGAAAUGCGUAGAUAUCGGGAAGAACACCGGUGGCGAAGGCGGCCUUCUGGUCCAGGACUGACGCUGACAUGCGAAAGUGUGGGGAU